GGGGAUGUAGCUCAGUGGUAGAGCGUCCGCUUUGCAUGCGGAAGGUCCAGGGUUCGAUCCCCCGCAUCUCCA
rfam:Nematostella vectensis strain CH2 x CH6 NEMVEscaffold_161_Cont16368, whole genome shotgun sequence.